CUCACAUUUGCGACUUGCACGGUGUGAAUUGUGGGUGUCCUCACCUGUCCUGAGACUAGCCAGCUGACUGUUGCCCAGAGCUAGCAGGCAUAGCCAGCUGAAAUUCUGAAAGUGGAUUAUGCAUGGAGUAAUGCUGUUCUCAGGAAAUCAGUGAUUUAUUUUAUAAUCUAAAAUUUAAACGUUUUAAUAUACCUCCCAAGAAGAUACCCAGUUCAGAAAACUGCAGAGGAGCCAUGGAACUCAGCAGAAGGCCAGCUCCCUCUCUGGGAGGCCGCCUUCAGGAAACCAAUCGUCCCCCCACCUGAUUCCAAAGGAAUUACAGAAAAAUGGAAAGCCAGGAACAAAAAUCAUAAAUCAUAUUUUCAAUAUGACCUUGUAACGUUAUCCAUGGAUGUUACCUCAGACUUCGUGAUAAGC
rnacentral:lncRNA from 1 species